AACGAACGCUGGCGGCAUGCCUAACACAUGCAAGUCGAACGAAGGCUUCGGCCUUAGUGGCGCACGGGUGCGUAACGCGUGGGAAUCUACCCUUGGGUGCGGAAUAACUCAGAGAAAUUUGUGCUAAUACCGCAUAAUGUCGCAAGACCAAAGAUUUAUCGCCCAAGGAUGAGCCCGCGUAGGAUUAGCUUGUUGGUGAGGUAAAAGCUCACCAAGGCGACGAUCCUUAGCUGGUCUGAGAGGAUGAUCAGCCACACUGGGACUGAGACACGGCCCAGACUCCUACGGGAGGCAGCAGUGGGGAAUAUUGGACAAUGGGCGAAAGCCUGAUCCAGCAAUGCCGCGUGAGUGAUGAAGGCCUUAGGGUUGUAAAGCUCUUUUACCCGGGAUGAUAAUGACAGUACCGGGAGAAUAAGCUCCGGCUAACUCCGUGCCAGCCGCCGCCGUAACAC
rnacentral:rRNA from 1 species